UACGUAGGGCGCAAGCGUUAUCCGGAAUUAUUGGGCGUAAAGAGCUCGUAGGCGGUUUGUCGCGUCUGCCGUGAAAGUCCGGGGCUCAACUCCGGAUCUGCGGUGGGUACGGGCAGACUAGAGUGAUGUAGGGGGAGACUGGAAUUCCUGGUGUAGCGGUGAAAUGCGCAGAUAUCAGGAGGAACACCGAUGGCGAAGGCAGGUCUCUGGGCCGAUACUGACGCUGAGGAGCGAAAAGCGUGGGGGAGCGAACAGG
rnacentral:rRNA from 1 species